rnacentral:rRNA from 1 species
CGGACGGGUGAGUAGCGCGUGGAUAACCUGCCGUAUACCGGGGGAUAACACUUAGAAAUAGGUGCUAAUACCGCAUAAGCGCACGGCUCCGCAUGGGGCAGUGUGAAAAACUCCGGUGGUAUACGAUGGAUCCGCGUCUGAUUAGCUAGUUGGCGGGGUAACGGCCCACCAAGGCAGCGAUCAGUAGCCGGCCUGAGAGGGUGGACGGCCACAUUGGGACUGAGACACGGCCCAAACUCCUACGGAAGGCAGCAG